rnacentral:lncRNA from 1 species
AUGGCGAUUACUACCCUCCCUGAUGAUAUUAUUGUGCAUAUUCUCUUGAGGCUGCCGGUGAAAUCUUUAAUCCGAUUCAGUUGCGUUUCGAAACGGUGGCAUUCUUUAGUAAUCUCUGACCUAGAAUUCGCGCAAUCCCAUUUUAAAUUAGCGUCCAAGCAGAAAACCCUCAACCGCAGACUCCUCCUCUCAACUGACUCUCAACUUGAAUCCUUAGACUUGGAAGCGCCAUCGUUUGGAGACAAUUCUUCAGUGAGGAAGCUCGUCAGCCCAUUUAAGCUGGAAGAUGGUGCCAAGAUACUGGGCUCUUGCAACGGCUUGGUAUGUGCGAUUGGUGUUCACGAAAAGUUAUAUAUCUGGAACCCAUCAACCGGAUUGUCCAAGACAUUAUCUAACACAGGUUCCUUUGGUUUGUGGCCAAGAAUUAAAAUGAGUAUUCUGCAUGAUUGUUAUGGUUUCGGGUACGUAUCGGCUAUUGACGACUACAAACUUGUGGUAGUCACUGAUUUGAUUUUCAAGGGGGAGGUUGCGAUCUUCUCAUUGAGAGCCAACGUUUGGAAGAGGAUGAAAGGCCCUGAUGAUCAGUCCAUAGCCAUGCAAAAUGAUAAUGGGACUCUUUUAAAUGAGGCACUACAUUGGCUCCCGAAUCACCAACUGUAUAUGUUUGCUUUUGAUUUGGCCAAGGAGGAGUUUCGGAAGGUGCCUCUGCCUGUUACUUGCGAACUUGACGAUAUGCCUUUCCAGUGUCUAGGGCUUCUUGAAGGAUGCCUGUGUGCAUUACAGCACAAGCCUUGUGAUUGUGACUCUAUUGAUUUCUGGGUCAUGACAGAAUAUGGCGUGCUUGAAUCAUGGACUAAGCUCUUUAAGUUCAAGAUUUUCGGCCCACCAGAGCGCCCUAGGAGUUUAAGUACGGUCUUUGUAUCAGAAAGUGGUAGCGUUGUGGUGAGAAAAUAUUGGUCCAGGGACAUGGAGUUGAUAAGGAUUGAGAAAAAAGAAGACAAGCUUGAUGAUAAAAAUGAAAAAGUUGUGGUUUGGGGUGACCGGUAUACGCUAAAAUGGUGUUGUGAGAUUAAUGUUGGAUAUGAUGAAACUCUAUUGUGGGUGGGUGGAUGA